ACUAGAAGGCGCACACAAUUUUUUGGUCGGCACCAUUUUAUGGUUUUGCAUGUCCAUCUUAAGAGCUUGUACCAUCCUAAUAUCAAGAGAACCGGGAUAGGGUAGGAUUUGGAGACAUUAGGAAUGGCAACUUUACUGGAAGAGAAAUCCGACCGCAUGGAACAAGCUGUGGCAACUUUACUGGAAGAGAAAUCCAACACGGGCAGCAGCUCCUCUGAAAGACACGGGCACCGCGAACUACUCGACACGUUCUUGCAUUGAACGGUUGCGGCAUGUCGGAGUAUCUGUGUGACGAAUACAAGCUGAACCUGCCUUGGUGUUACUGCUCCAUGACGAAUACAAGCUGAACCACUUGACCAGCCUUGGAGCCCGGCCUAGUCGCGUCGUGACGAAGUAGAUAGUGUUGGUUGGGCGAGGACUGAGACGCGAUGCCUCCCGUUCCGGAAGAGAGCAGGAAAGAGCAGCUAUACCUGUUACUGCUCCAUGUUUGUGUUCCAGCAGAAAGACGACCGGCCAGGGAUAGGAGCGAGACCCGCAUCUCGAUGCCAUGCCCGUUCGUCAAACCAUGUUGUGUACACACCAUGCCACCAUCAUACUUGUCUCUCUAUUUUUAUGCCCGUUCGUCAAACCAUGUUGUGUACACACCAGGCCACCACCAUACUUGUCUCUCUAUUUUUCUCUGUUUUGUCAUGUAUUACUAGUCCGGUUACACGGUACUACAUCGUGCUUUGCGACUAACAAUAGCUGUUGUGCUCUUAUAUUAUAACUAAACAUUACAUGCAGC
rnacentral:lncRNA from 1 species